CAGCAGAUUCUGAUUGGUUUGACAUUUGUCUCUCUGUCCUUCGCUCAGGUCUUGUACUCUCUUGUCUGUGGAGUUGAAAUGUCUUUUUAUGGCCACUUAGAGAAAGAGGCUGCCGGUGUCACCAGUCAGCUCACACUCACACAGCAGAGGAAUUCAUUCCAGAGUCUGGCAGCAGGCCUUAUUGGGGAAGCAGCAGGUAUGGCUUGGCCCCCACAUGUCUGCCUCCCUCACCACCAACAAUGGAGCUCCGCAAGCCUGUGUCCUCUCCCCAUAUCUUUUGUCCCUGUUCACCAACGACUGCACCUCCAGCCAUAGGUUCUGCUCCAUCAGGACCAGGACCACAAGACACGGGAAUAGUUUUUUCCCGGGUGCCAUCACUCUCCUCAACAAUCCAACCUAGUCACCUAUUUGCACCCCUCCCCCCCAAAGAAAAAAAAAAUUGUGCAAUACAACUGAACUCAAAUCGAAACACGUAACAUUUAACAGUGCAAUAACGUACAGUAUGAUUGUAAUUAUUUCU